ACUCUAUUAAACCUAAAGGCGCAAUGAAAGUAAAGGCCCGCCUCGCGCGGACCGAGGGAGGAUGGGUCCGCUCUCGGGCGGACCCCGCACUCCCGGGGCGUCUCGUUCUCAUCGCGAGAAGAGGCGCACCCAGAGCGUACACGCUGGGACCCGAAAGAUGGUGAACUAUGCCUGGUCAGGACGAAGUCAGGGGAAACCCUGAUGGAGGUCCGUAGCGAUUCUGACGUGCAAAUCGAUCGUCGGAACUGGGUAUAGGGGCGAAAGACUAAUCGAACCUUCUAGUAGCUGGUUCCUUCCGA
rnacentral:rRNA from 1 species